ensembl:lncRNA
ACGCACAUCAAGGAUGCACCUCCCCCCAUGCAGUGUGUGGGUAAAUAAGAACAGUUGUGAGUGUGUGUUCUGUUUAACGUCCAGUGUGUGUGUGAAUAAGAACAGUUGUGAGUGUGUGUUCUGUUUAACGUCCAGUGUGUGUAAAUACAAGUAAUGGUUAAAGGAAGAGACAAAAUGUGGAACGACCAAAAAGAGGAGUGCAGACAUUGAUGGUCCUGGCUGGCCCUAUACGACACAUCACCAGACUCUUCUCAUGGCACCGCUGGCUGGCCCUAUACGACACAUCACCAGACUCUUCUCUUCUCAUGGCACCGCUGGCUGGCCCUAUACUACACAUCACCAGACUCUUCUCUUCUCAUGGCACCGCUGGCUGGCCCUAUACGACACAUCACCAGACUCUUCUCAUGGCACCGCUGGCUGGCCCUAUACUACACAUCACCAGACUCUUCUCUUCUCAUGGCACCGCUGGCUGGCCCUAUACGACACAUCACCAGACUCUUCUCUUCUCAUGGCACCGCUGGCUGGCCCUAUACGACACAUCACCAGACUCUUCUCAUGGCACCGCUGGCUGGCCCUAUACUACACAUCACCAGACUCUUCUCUUCUCAUGGCACCGCUGGCUGGCCCUAUACUACACAUCACCAGACUCUUCUCUUCUCAUGGCACCGCUGGCUGGCCCUAUACGACACAUCACCAGACUCUUCUCUUCUCAUGGCACCGCUGGCUGGCCCUAUACGACACAUCACCAGACUCUUCUCUUCUCAUGGCACCGCUGGCUGGCCCUAUACUACACAUCACCAGACUCUUCUCUUCUCAUGGCACCGCUGGCUGGCCCUAUACUACACAUCACCAGACUCUUCUCUUCUCAUGGCACCGCUGGCUGGCCCUAUACUACACAUCACCAGACUCUUCUCUUCUCAUGGCACCGCUGGCUGGCCCUAUACUACACAUCACCAGACUCUUCUCUUCUCAUGGCACCGCUGGCUGGCCCUAUACUACACAUCACCAGACUCUUCUCUUCUCAUGGCACCGCUGGCUGGCCCUAUACGACACAUCACCAGACUCUUCUCAUGGCACCGCUGGCUGGCCCUAUACGACACAUCACCAGACUCUUCUCUUCUCAUGGCACCGCUGGCUGGCCCUAUACUACACAUCACCAGACUCUUCUCUUCUCAUGGCACCGCUGGCUGGCCCUAUACGACACAUCACCAGACUCUUCUCAUGGCACCGCUGGCUGGCCCUAUACUACACAUCACCAGACUCUUCUCUUCUCAUGGCACCGCUGGCUGGCCCUAUACGACACAUCACCAGACUCUUCUCUUCUCAUGGCACCGCUGGCUGGCCCUAUACGACACAUCACCAGACUCUUCUCUUCUCAUGGCACCGCUGGCUGGCCCUAUACUACACAUCACCAGACUCUUCUCAUGGCACCGCUGGCUGGCCCUAUACUACACAUCACCAGACUCUUCUCAUGGCACCGCUGGCUGGCUUGAUUCAUUUAUUUUGUGAGAUAACCUGGCGACUGAACGCUGAUGACUUAAGAGUGACUGAUCAAUGGCUUGAGGAACCCCACAAAGCACAACAACAUUUAAAGAUGACUUCACUGGAGAAGAAGAAAAGACCCCCUAAAAACCCUGCAGAGAAAUUCUUCAGAGCCUCUUCCUACUCCCACUUUCCUCUCCACUAUUUUACCUCCAGCUUUUUUGUAAGAAAACAAAAACAAAACACUGACUCAAGUGAUGAAUCAAGAUGA